UACGGAGGGGGCUAGCGUUAUUCGGAAUUAUUGGGCGUAAAGGGCGCGUAGGCGGCCCUGUAAGCCAAAGGUGAAAUCCCUCGGCUCAACUGAGGAACUGCCUUUGGAACUGCAGGGCUUGAGGCCGGGAGGGGGUAGCGGAAUUCCCAGUGUAGCGGUGAAAUGCGUAGAUACUGGGAGGAACACCGGUGGCGAAGGCGGCUACCUGGACCGGUUCUGACGCUGAUGCGCGAAAGCGUGGGGAGCAAACAGG
rnacentral:rRNA from 1 species